UGUAAAGGAAAGUGCCCUGGUAUGGACAU
rnacentral:piRNA from 1 species